rnacentral:rRNA from 1 species
AUUUCAGGUUGAUCCUGCCGGACCUGACUGCUAUCUGAUUGGUACUAAGCCAUGCGAGUCGUUGUAGCAAUACAAGGCGGACUGCCCAGUAACACGUAGUUAACUUAACCUAUGGAUGGGCAUAACCUCGGGAAACUGAGAAUAAUACCCAAUGGACCACAGUGCCUGGAAUGGCCUGUGGUUGAAAUGAUUUAUCGCCGUAGGAUAGGACUGCGGCCUAUCAGCUUGUUGGUGAGGUAAUGGCCCACCAAGGCUAUAACAGGUACGGGCUCUGAGAGGAGGGGCCCGGAGAUGGGUACUGAGACACGGACCCAGGCCCUAUGGGGCGCAGCAGGCGAGAAACCUUUGCAAUGUGCGAAAGCACGACAAGGUUAAUCCGAGUGUCUCCUGCUAAAGGAGUCUUUUGUCAGUUGUAGAAUCACUGGUGAAUAAGGGGUGGGCAAGUUCUGGUGUCAGCCGCCGCGGUAAAACCAGCACCUCGAGUGGUCAGGAGGUUUAUUGGGCCUAAAGCAUCCGUAGCCGGUUGCAUAAGUUUUCGGUUAAAUCUAUGCGCUUAACGUAUAGGCCGCCGAAAAUACUGUGCAGCUAGGGAGUGGGAGAGGUACCGGUACUCGAUAGGAACGGGUAAAUCCUUUGAUCUAUUGAAACCACCUGUGGCGAAGGCG